rnacentral:rRNA from 1 species
AUGCCGCGUGCAGGAAGACUAGCCCUAUGGGUUGUAAACUGCUUUUAUACAGGAAGAAACACCUCUACGUGUAGAGAUUUGACGGUACUGUAAGAUAAGGAUCGGCUAACUCCGUGCCAGCAGCCGCGGUAAUACGGAGGAUCCAAGCGUUAUCCGGAAUCAUUGGGUUAAGGGUCCGUAGGUGGAUAAUUAAGUCAGAGGUGAAAUCCUGCAGCUUAACUGUAGAAUUGCCUUUGAUACUGGUUGUCUUGAGUUAUUAUGAAGUGGUUAGAAUAUGUAGUGUAGCGGUGAAAUGCAUAGAUAUUACAUAGAAUACCAAUUGCGAAGGCAGAUCACUAAUAAUAUACUGACACUGAUGGACGAAAGCGUGGGGAGCGAACAGGAUUAGAUACCCUGGUAG